ACGAACGCUGGCGGCGUGCUUAACACAUGCAAGUGGAGCGACGAACCGGGCUUCGGCCCGGGGCAAAGCCGCGAACGGGUGAGUAUCACGUGGGUAACCUGCCCCGAUGACCGGGACAACCCGAGGAAACUCGGGCUAAUACCGGAUGUGCUCUCAAUCCACCAGGGUUGGGAAAAAAGGAAGCUUCGGCCUCCGCAUCGGGUUGGGCCCGCGGCCCAUUAGCUUGUUGGUGAGGUAACGGCUCACCAAGGCGACGAUGGGUAGCUGGUCUGAGAGGACGAUCAGCCACACUGGGACUGAGACACGGCCCAGACUCCUACGGGAGGCAGCAGUGAGGGAUAUUGGUCAAUGGGGGCAACCCUGAACCAGCGACGCCGCGUGGGUGAUGAAGGUCUUCGGAUCGUAAAGCCCUUUUUGAGGUGACGAGCAAGGACGGUAGCCUCAGAAUAAGUCUCGGCUAACUACGUGCCAGCAGCCGCGGUAAAACGUAGGAGGCAAGCGUUAUCCGGAGUUACUGGGCGUAAAGCGCAUGUAGGCGGUUGGGCAAGUUGAGUGUGAAAGCUCCCGGCUAAACUGGGAGAGGACAUUUAAGACUGCCCGGCUAGAGGUCGGUAGAGGGGCGCAGAAUUCGGGGUGUAGCGGUGAAAUGUGUAGAGAUCCCGAGGAAUACCAGUGGUGAAGACGGCGCCCUGGGCCGAGCCUGACGCUGAGAUGCGAAAGCGUGGGGAGCGAACGGGAUUAGAGACCCCGGUAGUCCACGCCGUAAACGAUGCUUGCUAGGUGUCCACUGCCCGACAGGGCCGGGGGUGCCGCAGCUAACGCGCUAAGCAAGCCGCCUGGGGAGUACGGUCGCAAGGCUAAAACUCAAAGGAAUUGACGGGGGCCCGCACAAGCAGCGGAGCGUGUGGUUUAAUUCGAGGCUACACGAAGAACCUUACCUGGGUUUGACAUCGCGGUGGUAGGGAACCGAAAGGGGACCGACCUUCGGGAGCCGUGACAGGUGCUGCAUGGCUGUCGUCAGCUCGUGUCGUGAGAUGUUCGGUUAAGUCCGAAAACGAGCGCAACCCCCGGCAGUAGUUACAGGUGUCUACUGCGACUGCCCGUGAGAAACGGGAGGAAGGUGGGGAUGACGUCAAGUCAGCAUGGCCUUUAUAUCCAGGGCUACACACACGCUACAAUGGCCGGUACAAUGGGUCGCAAGGCCGCGAGGCGGAGCCAAUCCAGAAAGCCGGUCGUAGUUCGGAUUGCAGGCUGCAACCCGCAUGCAUGAAGCCGGAGUUGCUAGUAACCGCGCGUCAGCCAUAGUGCGGUGAUACGUUCCCGGGCAUUGCACACACC
rnacentral:rRNA from 1 species